ACGGCACCUCGUCCUCCAUCGUCGAGAGCACCAUGUCUUCCCAAACCAAAUGUAGAGAAACUGAUCAUGAGUGACUAUAAGGUGGAGAAGUUCUUUGUGGAUUUUCAUGGAUUCAAAUACAGGAGAGAGAAUGAGAUAUAUAGGUCUCAUGGUGUUGCUGAGCUAUAUAGACACAAGUAUAGUGGAGUGGAUCAUUCAUUGGUUGCAAAAUAUGUACUACAGCCCUUUUGGAUGCGAUUCGUUAACUUCUUCCCACUUUGGAUGCCGUAAGACUGUUCUAUUUAUUUACUGUUCAUUUAUUGAGUGAUGG